UCACUCUCCACUCCUUCCUCCACUCCCUCCCAUCCCUCUCCUACCUCUCUCCCACGAAAAUGGUGCUCCUUCUAGCUACCAUGACCAGCCAUGGCCAUGGAAAUCCACCAAGAGGAAGCUCCCCUUCUCCCUCAAGCUUCCCCUCACCAUGAGAGCCUCCCUCUCCUUCUUCUCCCCAACCCUAGAUGGUUUUAUCACCUCUUCUUCUUCCUCCAUUGCUAAGGUUGGAUCUUGAUGCAGGUUCAUGUUGGUUCAAGCAUGGAUAAGGUUGAGCAAUCCUCAGAUCUGAAGCUCUUGAUCCAAAUCCAAAUCGAGUGAUUCAAAGUUCCACAGGUAGAUAUUGAAAAGAUCUACAACUUGGCGUUGGUCUCAUCCUCAAAUUCGUUACAAAUUAUCCCUGAUCAAGAUCUGGUCAGAUCUGACUUUGUCGAAUUAAAUCAGGAGCUUGGUGACGAAUUUUUGAAUGAAACAAAUUGGGGGAUACUUAGUUGUGCCAUGGUGAUACCGAGAGAGGCAAUUGCUAAGUUGUGAUACUCUCAUACCUUUACUAGAUGCGAACGAUUCCGGAGAAGAAGAAGUGGAUCGGAAAAGGAUUUUAUUUAUAUUGUUGGUAUUCUUAUAUUGAUGAAGUUGAAGAAGUCCAGGGACAAAUAAGCCAAGGCA